rnacentral:misc_RNA from 1 species
GUGAGUCAUCGAAUCUUUGAACGCACAUUGCACCUCUCGCAGGGGAGGUAUGCCUGUCUGAGUGUCAUUGAAACCAAUAGACCCUUCUGGGUUUGUGCUGGGCUCCACAUGAAAGUGUGCUGCCUCAAAGUCCUGGUCUAACCUGCGGACGAGCUCCUCUUGGACCUACUGUUGAACUGACCCUUUUCUCUGUAUUUGACCUCAGAUCAGGUAGGAAGACCGCCUGAACUUAAGCAUAUCAAUAAGCGGAGGA